GACGAACGCUGGCGGCGUGCCUAAUACAUGCAAGUAGAACGCUGAAGGAGGAGCUUGCUUCUCUGGAUGAGUUGCGAACGGGUGAGUAACGCGUAGGUAACCUGCCUGGUAGCGGGGGAUAACUAUUGGAAACGAUAGCUAAUACCGCAUAAUAGUAGAUGUUGCAUGACAUUUGCUUAAAAGGUGCAAUUGCAUCACUACCAGAUGGACCUGCGUUGUAUUAGCUAGUUGGUGGGGUAACGGCUCACCAAGGCGACGAUACAUAGCCGACCUGAGAGGGUGAUCGGCCACACUGGGACUGAGACACGGCCCAGACUCCUACGGGAGGCAGCAGUAGGGAAUCUUCGGCAAUGGACGGAAGUCUGACCGAGCAACGCCGCGUGAGUGAAGAAGGUUUUCAGAUCGUAAAGCUCUGUUGUAAGAGAAGAACGAGUGUGAGAGUGGAAAGUUCACACUGUGACGGUAUCUUACCAGAAAGGGACGGCUAACUACGUG
rnacentral:rRNA from 1 species